rnacentral:rRNA from 1 species
AGUGAACGCUGGCGGUAGGCCUAACACAUGCAAGUCGAACGGCAGCACAGUAAGAGCUUGCUCUUACGGGUGGCGAGUGGCGGACGGGUGAGGAAUACAUCGGAAUCUACUUUUUCGUGGGGGAUAACGUAGGGAAACUUACGCUAAUACCGCAUACGACCUACGGGUGAAAGCAGGGGAUCUUCGGACCUUGCGCGAUUGAAUGAGCCGAUGUCGGAGUAGCUAGUUGGCGGGGUAAAGGCCCACCAAGGCGACGAUCCGUAGCUGGUCUGAGAGGAUGAUCAGCCACACUGGAACUGAGACACGGUCCAGACUCCUACGGGAGGCAGCAGUGGGGAAUAUUGGACAAUGGGCACAAGCCUGAUCCAGCCAUACCGCGUGGGUGAAGAAGGCCUUCGGGUUGUAAAGCCCUUUUGUUGGGAAAGAAAAGCAGCAGGUUAAUACCCCGCUGUUCUGACGGUACCCAAAGAAUAAGCACCGGCUAACUUCGUG